UUGUUAUUUGUACAUGUAUUUGAAAAUCAAAACUUCUCUCUAGCUUAUCUGACUAAAAUCAAAAAUCUACUUUGAGGCCGGUUGAGUAAUUCUUUACAAUAAAUAUGUAUGGAUAUAAUUUAAAUAGAUAAUAUAUAAGCAGAAAAAAGAGUCAGCUAGUACUUCUUUUUCUCCAUGGUAAGAGAUACAGUCAAACCUGGUUACAGUGAACAAGCUUAAAAUGAAUUGAUGCUUACAGUGAAGCAAUUUUUAUUCCUUGUGACUUUAUUACAUGUUGUAAACUUGAAGGAUAUAACGAAUUACGCUUACAAAAAAGCAAAAUGGCCCGUCCCAGGCACUUCGUAAUAACCGUGUUUUACAGUAUAGAGAACUUUCCUCUCUUAUGUAGUGUACAUUUCACACCCUGAUGUAGCUACCGGUAUAUGUGCCUUGCAAAUGUCAUGCAUGUAUUGCCUUUUUUAAUUUUUUGUUUUAUAAUUGAUUAUAUUAUGCUAGUAGUUGUAACAGACUCCAGUUAUUCUGCAGGGAUCAACCUUGUGCUUCAUCACUGUCAUCUUUUGAUUAAGGGACCAAUGAUAUAAUUGAUGAUCAUUUAUAGUGAUUGCAUUUUAUACAUGUAAUUAUGUGAUUUUUUUUACAAUCUUUAUUAGUUUUCAAUUGUUAAUUUUUUCACUUUGAAUUUGUAGAUAUUUUGUUGUUUUGAAGCAAACAUAUUUACAAUCUAGCUAGUUUUGAUGUAGGAUUCUGUCAUAUUAUUUGCUAUGGUUGUUCUGAUUUUUCAUUUCAUAUAUAAUCAGAUAGCCAUAUUUUCUUAUCAUUUCGAUUCUUCAUGUAAAUAUUACACCAGAAACAAGUAAUGAAAACUUUUUAAAAUAUGAUAUUGAUGAAAUGUAAAUCAGGUGUUAAUACAUGCGAGUCAUUUCUUGGACUUUUCUUAGAUUUUUCUUUUACCCAUAUGAACUAUUGAUAAAUAUUUCUUGCCAAUGAUAAUUUUAAAAAAAACAGACAAAUAAGCAUGGUUGGUGCCAUAUACGUUGUUGAAUCUUAGGUUUUUAUUGGUUUGUUUAGAUUUAUUACACAAUUUAAGUCUAAAUCCUGGGGGGGGGGAGGAGUUUUCAGGGUUUUUUUUAUCAGACUCCAGGAUCAUGAAGCAGUCUUUGACUUAAUUAAGUCAAAAAUUGUACACUGUCUUAACAUCUCUUGAUUGAAAACAAAAUUUAUAAAAUUAAAUUGCAAUUGAAAUAACAUUGUUAAUUACAAAUUUCAAUUGUCAUAUUUUGAUUAACAAUCAUUCUAUGACUGACUAAAAUUUUGACUAAAAUCUGAAAUUGUGUUUCAAGAUCCUGAGGCCCAGAUGUCAUGUGUGCUAAGCUGUUGUUGGUCAUAGAUUUACUUGUACGUGUACCAAGUAGUUGUUGUUUAUUUUUACUGUUAAACUUAGUCAAUGUCAUUGCAACAGCUUUGCAAUUUUAUACAUUUAUAAUUUUUUUUAAUUAACGUGAUAUGCAUUAUUUACAUUAUUUAGAACAUAUCAUUUUAUUUAAGGUAAGGGGAAAAGAAAUGUAAUCAUCACAUGUAUUACAUUGUACAUCAAGGCCUUCAAAUGUAAUGUAAUUUUUGCACUUUUUUCAUCAAAUGAAUGUUCUAAUUUUUAUCAAUUGGAGAUUUUAACUUUAAAAUGAAAUGUUACUAAUUGUUCAAUUUGUUUGAAUAUGAAGCAGCUUUUGCAAUAUUUUAUCUUCAAUUAGCUCCCAUGUGUUCUUCUGUAAAUAAAUGUUUAAGGAAAUCCAGGUUUACAUUUUAAUUUUAUGCAAAUUCUUUUAAUAAUUGAGCAGAUGGGUACUGCUUAGUGAUAAGUCCAUUUAUUAUAAUAAAGUUCAAAGUUUGUUGAGGCCAACUGAUGCUAAAAAUAGUGUUCAGGUCUAAGGGAAGAUAAUCACUGCUUACUUAAAAAUGUCUUACAUUUGAAACCAUUUUGUACAGUUUAUGGCUUAAUUAAAUGUUACACAAAUUUG
rnacentral:sRNA from 1 species